rnacentral:lncRNA from 1 species
UCCUACUUGUACUUAUUGCCCUAUGACGUACAAGAAAAAAAGCUAAGUUAACAUUGGGUAUUUCUAAACCAAGGACAAAAUUUAGAAACUAUACAGCACAGGUGUUUUUGGCGGUUGUAGAUGCGUAACAGAUUUUGGAAGACAAAGUUAGAAAAAGCAUGUUUUUUUUUUUUUUAAUUCUUUCAUCAUAUUUACUAAAGUAUUUUUUAUAGUAAAUGAUAUGAUGAAAAUAAUGGUAUCUUUAGAAAGACCAUAAAAAGGUGGUGGGUACAGUAAGUGAGUAAAAUGAAAAUUACAGCCAAACACAAACACCGCAGAAAUGUAAAAACAGCCCUGGUCACUAAGAGGUUAAAGGCACUAUAGUCCCCAAAGCACCUUUAGCUUAAUGAAAAAGUGUUAGUUACAAUCAUGGGGGGAGGUGGUGGCUAUGGGUUUAUAAGCAGACACAAACAUGAUUUAACGCGUAACUGGCAGAGAAUUGAGCAGUGAGACACAAAAACAGCUAACGUUGUUUUGGUGACUAUAGUGUCUGUUAAAUAUUUUGUUAAGUACAAUAAAUAGCAUAGCUUCAUGUGAUCCAGUCCUUAUCAUGGAUCGGAUAUUAAAUGGAAUGGAUUCUCCCCCCGCCCAUCUUGGAACCCACCAUACAAAUUUAAUGUUGUAUAUUUCUCCACCAUGACAAUUUUUCUUGCACUCUACUAUCCGCUAGUGCCAUUUACCAACAAAUAACACCUACUAGUGACCUCCAAACUGUGUUAAUUUGCUCAAACGUGAAACCCACAAAUCGAAAAAAGAACCCCCCACCAUCCAGGAAAGGGUUAAAUAAUUUUUAAAAUCAGAUUCCAGUGCCAAAGGGCAUGCUCGUCCUCCGCUGGCAUCAGCCAACUGAGGGGGACUUAAUGCGCAUGAGUGGCUUGGGCCACACAAACAUUAGGCCUUCUCCAAAAGAAAGCAUUGAAUCAAUGCAUUCCUAUUGUGGAUUUGCAGAAAAGCAUCUCGAGUGGCUGUCUUGGCAUUGCAAUGUACACAUUGAGGUUUCUCUAAACUGCAAUAUUUUACUUUAUGGGGCUAAGGGGGUCAGAGACACUGCACACAGACCACUUCAAUGAGAUGAAGCAGUCUGGGUGCCGAUAGUGUCUAUUUAAACAAUCCACAUUAUCAAGAUAUCUGUCAACCAUGUGGGAAGGAGAGCUGCUUGUACGGUAUAGAAGUAAAUAAAAGAGGAUAUUUUUACACAAUAAUGAUCAAUAACAAUCGGUCUCAUGUGCCAAUAAUUGCUGUUCCUUCACCAUCACAGAGUUAUUAAUUAAAUAAUGAAUUGCUGGGAAUUUGAAUAGGGUGUGUUAACUAAAGUGAGAAUAAAAUGCCAAUUUCAAAUUUAAAGUCAAAAUAUCUGAAUAUUCUCAGCUAAGCUUCCAGUUCAGGUAUUGUGGCUUUAUAUUUGAAAUUAAAGUUAAAUACUCACUUUAGGAAAUCACCCUGAUAGUGAUGAAAAUUUUUUUCGGUCAAAGUAGACAAUCUGACUUAUAUUCCUUGAAUGUAGCUAUUAUGAUCUAGAAUUUAAAAUUCACUCUUAUUUUCUGGAAAUUUCUACUUUAGUGACCCGGAGAGAGGGACAUUUACUACUGCUCCGGUCAGACGGCCAACCACACAGCCAGGUGGCACAUUCUGAGCCAAGGGGGAAAGCAGAGAUUGAUGGCUCACUAUACACCUGUCUGCAUGUCAGCAUUUUUUUCACAAUAUCUGUAAUGUUGAUCUCACCUGCCAGGUAACCCUGUGUUACGGACGCAAAUAAGUUAUGAACAUACGCCAAUAAGCAGCCAAUCAGGACAGAGUGUAUGCCACAUUGCAUGCUGGUAAAUAAGAU